CUUUGACACACAUGGGUACGUGAGGGAUUUUUGCCUGAAAUCACCGUUGCGGUGAAUGUGGAUUUCUGAAAAAGAAAUUGUUACAGAAAUAAAUAACAUUUGCGAUGAGAUUCUGUCAGUUUUAUUGUUAGUCGACCAGUGGAUCAGCGAAUAAGGAACUGGAGCAAUAAACAAGAUCUCCUGCUUUGCCUGAUCAUAACUUGGAUUCCUGUCUCCUCUCAAGAACAACUUCUGUGCCUCGAACGACCCAUGCCUGUCCUCAGCUACAGUCCUGGCUUACUCCUCCUUUUGUUCCCACAAUGAUUGAAUCUUUAUUCCACAGUGAUUCUGAAAUAUAUAGCAGGGAACUUUGCACAUUACUGGUGAGGCUUGGUGUGUAAGGUUGCAUAACACCAAUCAUCUUAUUUCAAAAAAGAUCAGUGGCUGAUGAAGAGAAGCUCUUUUCAUUGACCUGGGCUCACACGCUACAAUGAUGGGGUAACUAAAUAAUUCCUCCUAAUCACUUGUAUUUGUACUGCUUCCAUUGAAAAAUGGGUUUUAAGGUUUCAGUUUUUUUUUUCUUUCUCGUGGUUAAUAGAUAAUAGUUAAUAUAUAUGGUUUAGGAAAGGGCUUGUCUCUUUAAAAACAGUCACAAGCCAUUUGCUAAGCAAAACAUGAAAUGUAUUAUUUACUGUAGUCCUCUAGUACUUUUCUUUGCAUUUUGUGCAAUGCAACCAGUCAACAGUUACAUUUUGGCUCGUACCAAUUUGUGACACUACCGUUUGGAUUGUAUAGGACACCAACCAACUAACUUUCAACAAUUAUUAGACACAAAACCCAGCUACUUCAGGUAAGAAGUUGUUCAAAGCACAAUCUUUUUCUUCAGAAUCUUCAAAUUUUCCUCACAAUCACUGGAAGGCAAGAAUGAAGUAACACAAAGUCUCCUGAGGACAUCUGACUCUCUGCAAAAGGCUGAUCGAUAUUAGUUUUGGUGACUACCUUACAAGUAUUCAUAAAAGGGGUUAUAAAAAAAGUUAUAUCUCAGUAUGUCCAGAAGAACAGCGUGGCACAA
rnacentral:lncRNA from 1 species